rnacentral:rRNA from 1 species
UGGGGAAUAUUGGACAAUGGAGGAAACUCUGAUCCAGCAAUUCUGUGUGUGUGAAGAAGGUUUUAGGACUGUAAAACACUUUUAGUAGGGAAGAAAAAAAUGACGGUACCUACAGAAGAAGCAACGGCUAAAUACGUGCCAGCAGCCGCGGUAAUACGUAUGUUGCGAGCGUUAUCCGGAAUUAUUGGGCUUAAAGGGCAUCUAGGCGGUAAGACAAGUUGAAGGUGAAAACCUGUGGCUCAACCAUAGGCUUGCCUACAAAACUGUUGAACUAGAGUACUGGAAAGGUGUGUGGAACUACACGAGUAGAGGUGAAAUUCGUAGAUAUGUGUAGGAAUGCCGAUGAUGAAGAUAACUCACUGGACAGAAACUGACGCUGAAGUGCGAAAGCUAGGGGAGCAAACAGG